AUAAACGGGGAUUUAGUCUGUCUGUGGAACUCGAGAAUCCUAGCAAAGAUAAGCCUAUCGUAACCUUUACGGAACCUUCCGGUACUCGGCGGCUCAGAGGUUGAUAAAAUCCCCAGGGAAUGAGGUGUCGACACCUGGACGCUGCUCAGAUUGGCAGCAUCGAGAGCUGAUUUAAGAGUUCUCAUGGCGGGCAGGAGAGAAGCGAUGAGGACUUUAUCCGACGU
rnacentral:lncRNA from 1 species